rnacentral:lncRNA from 1 species
AGUGCUGGACCCAAAGGAGACAACAUUUAUGAAUGGAGGUCAACUAUAUUGGGACCCCCAGGAUCUGUCUAUGAAGGAGGGGUGUUCUUUCUUGACAUUACCUUUUCACCAGACUAUCCGUUUAAACCCCCUAAGGUUACCUUCCGAACAAGAAUCUAUCACUGUAAUAUUAACAGCCAAGGUGUGAUCUGUCUGGACAUCUUAAAGGACAACUGGAGUCCGGCUUUAACUAUUUCUAAAGUUCUCCUCUCCAUCUGCUCACUUCUUACAGAUUGCAACCCU